AGUGGGAUAGCUGGGUCAAGUGGGUGUUCCAUUCCAGGUUCUCUGAGGAAUCUUCAUACUGCUUUCCAGAGUGGUUGCACUAAUUUGCAGUCCUACCAGCAAU
rnacentral:pre_miRNA from 1 species